UUCACUUCCUCCCACUUCCAUGUGGGAAUACUAAACUCCUGCAUGGACCCAUUAGGCUUUUGAUGAUCAAUCUCAACCUACUAACAUAUAGAGCACUUAGCUACAAACUCUGUAAUAUCUCUCUUCAUCCACUCCACUAAUAAAUGUCCAGCAAGUUGUGGUACAUCUUAGUGGCCCCUGGAUGAAUUGAUUAACGCACACCAUAAGCUUCAGCAAGAAUUCGUUGCCUCAAGUCAU
rnacentral:lncRNA from 1 species